AUUUUCGGUCCCUGUCACUCGUCUGGAUUCUCUUCCAUGAGCUUGCAGAUAAGUUUCCCCAGUGUGGCUGAGCUACGGUGCAAAAGACGCUCGAAGACACAGGGAGCAUUCAGGCGAAGACUACUUAUCCUAUAAGCUGCCAAAACACACCGAACGCUGGAAAUUGAGACAACAAAGAGAUGUAUCUCUGCGGUCCAAAUGUUUUUGUGAAAAGGAAAAAAGAGAGCAGAGUGUAUGAACGAGUGAACUCCAUCUGUCCACUCAGCUGUGACAGCAUCGGACUGUGGCUAAAGAAGAUGGAGGGGAUGGAUGUCUGGGAUGGAUGGUGAUGAGUGGAGACUCCAGUUGUACAUUUGCUACGUGCUUUACGGUGCAACGUGGAGUUAACCAGAAAUCAUGGAG